GAGCACAUGUUUCAUUCGAAUAAACUUCAUUCCUGCUCUUUUGGAAAUCUGAGCUUGCUGAUGAGGAGAUUAGAAAAAAAAAUUCAAAUGCAUCUGGGUGGGUUUUUACCAAAAAAAAAAAAAAUCUCUGAUCAAACAUUUGUGGAGUUGGACAAAGGCUUGUGGGAGAAAAUGGGCGGAGGUCCUGCAGGAUUUUAAUUGGUUCGCAUUACAAAGAAAGGGGCGGGGCUUGUGCUGCGGUGAUGUGAUGCAGCUGCAGGAGGAGAGAAGAAGAGGAGAAGGUGAGGAAGAGGAGGAUGGGAAGUUAGUUCCUCUGCUCUCCGACAAGAUGAACAGCUCAACGUUCACUGUGACUUUACUUUGACUGGAGGUUUUUUUUUCCAGAAAACAUAUUUUGGCACUUUUUUUGUUCUUUUCCUGCUUUGCAUAUGUUUAAUCCUCGUUUUGCAAAGUCGCUCUCAGCUGGAAGAUGUUGCUCUGCUGCUGGACAUGCACCGUUUUCCUCCUCGGCCUGCUGAGCUCCUCCUCAGCUGACGAUGCAGCAGCGGAGGACUUCGGAGGAGAGUCUGGCUCCGGGAUGCUGCAGGCAGGAAACAGAACAGGCAUGAUUGGCAUCCUCCCUCUCUCCUCCCUCCCUCCCCCCAUCGUAAUGGCUUGAUCCUUUGAUUACAGUGUUGGGUGGAAGAAGGAAG
ensembl:lncRNA